UACGUAGGUGGCGAGCGUUGUCCGGAUUUACUGGGUGUAAAGGGCGUGUAGGCGGGUUUGUAAGUUGGAUGUGAAAUGCCGCGGCUUAACCGCGGAGCUGCAUCCAAAACUACAGAUCUUGAGUGCCGGAGAGGAAAGCGGAAUUCCUAGUGUAGCGGUGAAAUGCGUAGAUAUUAGGAGGAACACCGGUGGCGAAGGCGGCUUUCUGGACGGUAACUGACGCUGAGGCGCGAAAGCGUGGGGAGCAAAC
rnacentral:rRNA from 1 species